rnacentral:rRNA from 1 species
GAUGAACGCUGGCGGCGUGCCUAAUACAUGCAAGUCGAGCGAAGCGCCUGCUUCUGAACUUUCGGGUGAAGAAACAGGCGACUGAGCGGCGGACGGGUGAGUAACACGUAGGUAACCUGCCUCACACAGGGGGAUAACAGUUAGAAAUGACUGCUAAUACCGCAUAAGCGCACAGGACCGCAUGGUCUGGUGUGAAAAGCUCCGGCGGUGUGAGAUGGACCUGCGUCUGAUUAGCCAGUUGGCGGGGUAAAGGCCCACCAAAGCGACGAUCAGUAGCCGGCCUGAGAGGGUGGACGGCCACAUUGGGACUGAGACACGGCCCAGACUCCUACGGGAGGCAGCAGUAGGGAAUAUUACACAAUGGGGGAAACCCUGAUGCGGCGACGCCGCGUGAGCGAAGAAGUAUCUCGGUAUGUAAAGCUCUAUCAGCAGGGAAGAAGAUGACGGUACCUGACUAAGAAGCACCGGCUAAAUACGUGCCAGCAGCCGCAGUAAAAC